UAAUAAGUGUUUAUGGCACUUCUUAAAUCCAUAUCCACCUUGUGUGCAAUGUCAGCCGUUUUCUUUAUGAAAGCGGUCAAACAUCAACUUAUUUUUUAACUGUCUGUCUGAAAACUAUUAUGAAUAAACAAUUCAAAUA
rnacentral:misc_RNA from 1 species